GAUGAACGCUGGCGGCGUGCCUAAUACAUGCAAGUCGAGCGAACGGACGAGAAGCUUGCUUCUCUGAUGUUAGCGGCGGACGGGUGAGUAACACGUGGAUAACCUACCUAUAAGACUGGGAUAACUUCGGGAAACCGGAGCUAAUACCGGAUAAUAUUUUGAACCGCAUGGUUCAAAAGUGAAAGACGGUCUUGCUGUCACUUAUAGAUGGAUCCGCGCUGCAUUAGCUAGUUGGUAAGGUAACGGCUUACCAAGGCAACGAUGCAUAGCCGACCUGAGAGGGUGAUCGGCCACACUGGACCUGAGACACGGUCCAGACUCCUACGGGAGGCAGCAGUAGGGAAUCUUCCGCAAUGGGCGAAAGCCUGACGGAGCAACGCCGCGUGAGUGAUGAAGGUCUUCGGAUCGUAAAACUCUGUUAUUAGGGAAGAACAUAUGUGUAAGUAACUGUGCACAUCUUGACGGUACCUAAUCAGAAAGCCACGGCUAACUACGU
rnacentral:rRNA from 1 species